UACGGAAGGCAGCAGGGGGAAUAUUGCACAAUGGGCGAAAGCCUGAUGCAGCUAUGCCGCGUGUAUGAAGAAGGCCUUAGGGUUGUAAAGUACUUUCAUCGGGGAGGAAAAAACAAAACUAAUAAUUUUAUUUCUUGACGUUACCCGAAAAAGAAGCACCGGCUAACUCCGUGCCAGCAGCCGCGGUAAUACGGAGGGUGCUAGCGUUAAUCAGAAUUACUGGGCGUAAAGAGCACGUAGGUGGUUUUUUUAAGUCAGAUGUGAAAUCCCUGGGCUUAACCUGGAACUGCAUUUUGAAACUGAAAUACUAGAGUAUCGUAGAGGGAGGUAGAAUUCUAGGUGUAGCGGUGAAAUGCGUAGAUAUCUGGAGGAAUACCUGUGGCGAAAGCGGCCUCCUAAACGAAUACUGACGCUGAGGGUGCGAAAGCGUGGGGAGCAAACAGGGAUUAGAUACC
rnacentral:rRNA from 1 species